rnacentral:rRNA from 1 species
UACAGGGGGUGCAAACGUUGCUCGGAAUUAUUGGGCGUAAAGCGCGCGUAGGCGGCUACCUAAGUCGGAUGUGAAAGCCCCUGGCUUAACUGGGGAAGUGCACCCGAAACUGAGUAGCUAGAGUGCGAAAGAGGGUCGCGGAAUUCCCGGUGUAGAGGUGAAAUUCGUAGAUAUCGGGAGGAACACCGGUGGCGAAGGCGGCGACCUGGGUCGACACUGACGCUGAGGCGCGAAAGCGUGGGGAGCAAACGGG